UACGUAGGGUGCGAGCGUUAAUCGGAAUUACUGGGCGUAAAGCGUGCGCAGGCGGUUCGUUAAGUCAGCUGUGAAAGCCCCGGGCUCAACCUGGGAACUGCGGUUGAAACUGGCGAACUAGAAUCUGGCAGAGGGGGGUGGAAUUCCACGUGUAGCAGUGAAAUGCGUAGAGAUGUGGAGGAACACCGAUGGCGAAGGCAGCCCCCUGGGCUGAGAUUGACGCUCAGACACGAAAGCGUGGGGAGCAAACAGG
rnacentral:rRNA from 1 species